ACCACCACUGGUCUAUUCAAAUGGCAGCCAGCUUCCUUCUCCCUCUCACAAAGAGGAGAAGAAAAAGAAGAAGACAUCCCAGUCUGAGUUUCAGGUUCUCUAGGAAGUGAACAGGCCAGCUGGCCAACAUCUCCAUAAAAGAAGCUUAAAAUAGUUCUGCACGGAAAUCUCUCCCUCUCCCCCACUGGUGAUGUUAGUUUCCAGCUUCUCACGGGCUGCCAGAGGAAGCCAGUGAACCCCCCUCUCGCGAAGACAGCCUCCCAGCUAAGGCUGCAGCCUCCAGUCCUGGACAAGAGGCCCCUGGAAGGCUCUGCUCCCUCAGCCUGGACGGCUGCUGUUCCACUCAGGACUGGGGCCCUGGAUGAUCUACGCAGCCUGUCAGAUAUUUGCUUCCCUUCCAUGUACGUAGCUGUGUUUCAGUUGUGUCUAGAACUGAUUGUGCUUCCCAUUACAACUACUCUGGGGGGUGGGUCAUGAUUUUUGCAUGCAGUGGAGGCUGGGGAGAUGCCCCUACUGGCUUUUGCCCAUCUACCUGCAGGGAUUUCUCACAAGCCCCAGCUGCCUCUCCUGCCCCCCUUCCCCCACAGCUUUUCUUUUCUAAUGCUGAUGUUGCACAAUUGCACAUUCAUGGUGGACAUUUGGCUCAUUUUGCCUUGGAAGAGUUGCCACCUUUCUUGUCUAGCAGGGCUCCUGUGUCUCUGAUUGUAGCUCUGCAGGCAGAAAUCCAGCAAGGUCCUCUUUCCCCAUUGCCCCAUCCCUGCUACACCAGCUGCAUUUCUGCCUUUUGUCUAGCUGUCAGAGGCACAGGAUCCUGCGGUGGGGGGGGGGUGUUGGUUGGUUGGUAGGAGAAGCUCUCACCUCUCUCUCUGUAUUACAGAGACCUGGAAAGCAAAACUGGGUUGCGGCACAACUAGAGCCAAGUUUAUGAACUACAGAUGCUUAUCAUUGCUGCCCUGCAAUCCACCAUGUGUGCUCAAAGAGGAGCCCCCUCCCUGCCACAUCCUAGAAGAUUAAGCUGGUGCAACAGCCUCUGCAUCUUGCACCUGGUCUCAAGCCCUGCUCAGAACCAAGUCCAAGCCCUGGUGGGCUCCGUGACCAACUGCUCCAUUGCACAAUCACCUGUGAUAUCUAGGAAUGUCAUAUCAACAGACCACAAACAAAGCACAGCUUUCAAAAAACCUGCAUAUAUAUUAUAUAAUGCUGCCAAUUACCAAACAAAUAAAAUAUGAUAAAUCCA